rnacentral:rRNA from 1 species
GACAGAGGGUGCAAACGUUGUUCGGAAUUACUGGGCGUAAAGCGCGUGUAGGCUGUCCCGAAAGUCGGGUGUGAAAGCCCUGGGCUCAACCCAGGAAGUGCACUCGAAACUUCGGGACUAGAGUCUCGGAGAGGGAGGCGGAAUUCUGGGUGUAGAGGUGAAAUUCGUAGAUAUCCAGAGGAACACCAGUGGCGAAGGCGGCCUCCUGGACGAACACUGACGCUGAGACGCGAAAGCGUGGGGAGCAAAC